UGGGAGUUGGUUUUACCUGAAGACGGUGCGCUAACCCGCAAGGGAGGCAGCCGGCCACGGUAGGGUCAGCGACUGGGGUGAAGUCGUAACAAGGUAGCCGUAGGGGAACCUGCGGCUGGAUCACCUCCUUUCUAAGGAUGAUCCUUCAGCGAGCUCACGCUCACUAUCGGAUCGUUUUAGAAACAUCAGUGGCCAACAGAUCGCCAGAUCGUUGAGCUGCAUUGGCGGGAUUUCGCCGUCUUCGUUUCUCUUUCUUCGCGGACGAACACGCGCUGGGCCUGCAUCAAGCAGGAUCCCACGGUCCCUGACGGGAUAUGCGUUAGGGGCUUGUAGCUCAGUUGGUUAGAGCGCGCGCUUGAUAAGCGUGAGGUCGGAAGUUCAAGUCUUCCCAGGCCCACCACUUUCAUCGAGUGAGCAUUCGUCUUCUGGUUACGGGGCCAUAGCUCAGCUGGGAGAGCGCGUGCUUUGCAAGCAUGAGGUCGUCGGUUCGAUCCCGUCUGGCUCCACCAGAUGGUUUGAUCACCGAGAUCUUGCACCGUCGUCCGCGAAACAUCACUUCGCAUCUCGCUAGUCUGGAUAGACAGCAAGAUGCGUGUUUUCUGACAUCGUAAAGAGGAGAUCGAUCCGAGUUGGAUCGUGCGGCAGAUUGUUGCGCGAAUCCUUCAUUAUCUCCGGAUCAUUUUCGGCGCUCGCUCUCAGCCGUGAGGUUGAAUGCGAGUUGUAAAAUGAUCCUUUUAGCGAAGCUUGACCGCCUCGCUAUCGGAACGAUCUUACGAAGCAAGCUGGUCUUUCUAGUCAAUGUCCGGCUGCACGUAGCAUUCAUCGAGGGUGCGCGCCGAAAGGCAAUCGUGCAGACAACAUUCUGCCGAGUGUGGGGAACCUGCGGCUGGAUCACCUCCUUUCUAAGGAUGAUCCUUCAGCGAGCUCACGCUCACUAUCGGAUCGUUUUAGAAACAUCAGUGGCCAACAGAUCGCCAGAUCGUUGAGCUGCAUUGGCGGGAUUUCGCCGUCUUCGUUUCUCUUUCUUCGCGGACGAACACGCGCUGGGCCUGCAUCAAGCAGGAUCCCACGGUCCCUGACGGGAUAUGCGUUAGGGGCUUGUAGCUCAGUUGGUUAGAGCGCGCGCUUGAUAAGCGUGAGGUCGGAAGUUCAAGUCUUCCCAGGCCCACCACUUUCAUCGAGUGAGCAUUCGUCUUCUGGUUACGGGGCCAUAGCUCAGCUGGGAGAGCGCGUGCUUUGCAAGCAUGAGGUCGUCGGUUCGAUCCCGUCUGGCUCCACCACGCUUCGCCUUUCAGGCUUCGCGUGGCGCAGCCAAGCACGGUCGAAGCGUGCCCGGCGUAGCUCACUUGAGCGUAGACGGGCUGGUUGAGAUCAGCCCGUAACCAUCACCGUCCGCGAAACAUCACUUCGUAUCCUGCUAGUCUGGAUAGACAGCAAGAUGCGUGUUUUCUGACAUCGUAAAGAGGAGAUCGAUCCGAGUUGGGUCGUGCAGCAGAUUGUUGCGCGAAUCCUUCAUUAUCUCCGGAUCAUUUUCGGCGCUCGCUUUCAGCCGUGAGGUUGAAUGCGAGUUGUAAAAUGAUCCUUUUAGCGAAGCUUGACCGCCUCGCUAUCGGAACGAUCUUACGAAGCAAGCUGGUCUUUCUAGUCAAUGUCCGGCUGCACGUAGCAUUCAUCGAGGGUGCGCGCCGUAAGGCAAUCGUGCAGACAACAUUCUGCCGAGUGUGUGGACAUUGA
rnacentral:misc_RNA from 1 species